AUUCUGUUGCUGAUGCUCGAAUCUAUGAUUCCAGAUUUCUUUCCUAGGGUUUUCUAUCUCCAGCUUUUCCUCACUUUGGGUUUUCUUUAUUGUGUCCUCUUCCCUUUUUAGGUCUAGUAUGGUUUUGUUCAUUUCCAUCACCUGUUUGAAUGUGUUUUCCUCUUUUUCUUUAAGGACUUGUAACUCUUUAGCAGUGUUCUCCUGUAUUUCUUUAAGUGAUUUAUUAAAGUCCUUCUUGAUGUACUCUACCAUCAUCAUGAGAUACUCUUUUAAAUCCGGGUCUAGCUUUUUGGGUGUGUUAGGGUGCCCAGGACUGGGCAAAGUGGGAGUGCUGCGUUUGAUGAUGGGAAUGUGCACAGAUAUCUGGCAUUCUGACCUCCCUCCUGGCAGAAGAUGAAGGCCUGAAACAGGACCUGUCCCAGAAGCUGUGUUGCUUAGGCCUGUCACAGAAGCUGUUUGCUUCUGUAGUCUACACUCUCACCUGCACAGACUAGUGUCAGAGGGAUCUGGGAACCAAGAUGACUCCCCCAGGUGCUCCAGCAAAGCCCUCCCGGGCAGGGCAGACACCUCUCCUCUGGCAGGGAAGAUGCCCAGAUGUCUGGAGCCUGAAACGGGGUCUGUUUCAGAAGCUGUCCUCUAGGAACCUUGGGGGUUUCUACCGACUUUGUGCCCAGGUGACCAAGUGCUGGCACCAACUGGAAGGGAACUGUGACCCUGGUCAGUCUGGGUUUCCUGCUUCUCUAAUGCUGUCUCAGUUCCUGAGUGAUUGGAUUGGAACAGAAGUUGUGUUCUACUCACUGGUGGUCCUAAGAUCGAGUGGAGAUUCCUCUAGGGGACCUUGGGGGUGUCUGCCGACUCUGUGCCCAAGGUGACCCGGUGCUGGCGCCAACCGGAAGGGCCAUUUUUCCUUUUUUUAAACAUAGGUUAUGAUUAUCUAGCUCUGGCCUUGGUCCCCAGUCUGGAGGAGACUUGCAGAUCCCCAAAAGCAUCCUCCCUCACUGUGGAAAACUAAGGGUGCUCCUAGACUGACCAUCUUGAAACCCUUACUGAACACUCAUUCUAGUUGGAUCUGCCCUCCUGGCCAGCUGGGUCUGAUUAGGAUACAACCUACAGAGUCUUCUGGACACAGCCUCCAGAGUGGUGUCUGCCUUAGGCACAGCCAACAGAGUAGGAUACCCCAAUUUCUGCUAUCUGGCCCAGGGCUCUGUACACUUUCCUGAGAAGUCAUACUGCCAUCAGAAUUAUCCAGUCAACACCAGAGAAAACCAGAUGCCUAAGAGACAGCUUAAGAAGACAAUCGACAAGAACCAGCCCAGUGUGGUACCACCAGAACCCAGCUAUCCUGCUACAAGAAUCCUAGAUUUCCUAUUGAUACUGAAGCCCAAGAAGAUGAUCAUAAAUGCAAUCUUACAAAGGUGAUGAAGGCUUUUAAAGAGGACAAGAAUAAAACCUAUAACAAAAUACAGGGAACUGCAUUCAAACAGGUUGGCCAGAAGCUUUGGAUCCACUGCCUUUGUUUCCACAGUUCUUGAGAGACACAGUUGCAACACUUGGAAAAGCUGGCACUCCCCGCCCCCAACUGGGACGCACAAGAGAGAAGGCCCUGGUGGAGUCAGGGCAGGAUAUCUGGCACUGGGGUCAUGGCUGUGGAAGAGCUGGCCCUGAUCUUAUUAGUAUACUGUGUGAUACACCAUGAACACUAUAGUUUCCAGAGAGAUAAUUUUUAAUUAUUUUUAUUUUCAUUUUAUUUUGAGGGGGAGUUUAGGAGGGUAGAGGAUGGAUUUGGAAGGGAUUGGAAUAGAAGGGUACAUGUUGUGAACUUCACAUUAAAACAAUAAAAAAAUUAAAAAUCUUU
rnacentral:lncRNA from 1 species